UUUCACACUGUCAAGAAAAGUCUCUAUCGAGGUUAAAGGUACCCGUACCGCAAACCGACACAGGUGGGUGAGGAGAGUAUCCUAAGGCCAGCGAGAGAACUGUUGUUAAGGAACUCGGCAAAAUGACCCCGUAACUUAGGGAUAAGGGGUGCCACCAUCAGGUGGCCGCAGAGAAUAGGCCCAAGCGACUGUUUACCAAAAACAUAGGUUUCUGCUAAGUCGCAAGACGAUGUAUAGGAGCUGACGCCUGCCCGGUGCUGGAAGGUUAAGGGGAUCUGUUAGAGAAUCGAAGCAGUGAACUUAAGCCCCAGUAAACGGCGGCCGUAACUAUAACGGUCCUAAGGUAGCGAAAUUCCUUGUCGGGUAAGUUCCGACCCGCACGAAAGGCGUAACGAUUUGGGCACUGUCUCAACAACAGACUCGGUGAAAUUGUAAUUCCGGUGAAGAUGCCGGAUACCUGCGACAGGACGGAAAGACCCCAUGGAGCUUUACUGUAGCUUGACAUUGGGUCUUGGUACUACAUGUACAGGAUAGGUGGGAGGCUUUGAAACCAGGACGCCAGUUUUGGCGGAGCCAUCCUUGGGAUACCACCCUUGUAGUACUGGGACUCUAACCAUAGGCCAUGAAUCUGGUCUUGGGACACUGUCAGGUGGGCAGUUUGACUGGGGCGGUCGCCUCCCAAAAGGUAACGGAGGCGCUCAAAGGUUCUCUCAGUACGGUCGGAAAUCGUACGUAGAGUGUAAAGGCAAAAGAGAGCUUGAUUGCAAGACAUACAGGUCGAGCAAGGAUGAAAAUCGGACUUAGUGAUCCGGUGGUUCUGCGUGGAAGGGCCAUCGCUCAACGGAUAAAAGCUACCCUGGGGAUAACAGGCUUAUCUCCCCCAAGAGUCCACAUCGACGGGGAGGUUUGGCACCUCGAUGUCGGCUCAUCACAUCCUGGGGCUGUAGUAGGUCCCAAGGGUUGGGCUGUUCGCCCAUUAAAGUGGUACGCGAGCUGGGUUCAGAACGUCGUGAGACAGUUCGGUCCCUAUCCGUCGCAGGCGUAGGAAAUUUGAGAAGACCUGUCCUUAGUACGAGAGGACCGGGAUGGAUGUACCUCUGGUGUACCAGUUGUCCUGCCAAGGGCAUGGCUGGGUAGCUAUGUACGGAAUGGAUAAGCGCUGAAAGCAUCUAAGCGCGAAGCCAACUUCAAGAUAAGAUUUCCCACCGCAAGGGUAAGACCCCAGAAAGACUAUCUGGUUGAUAGGUCGAAGGUGUAAGUGCAGCAAUGUAUUUAGCUUAUCGAUACUAAUAGGUCGAGGACUUGACCA
rnacentral:rRNA from 1 species